rnacentral:rRNA from 1 species
UACGUAGGUGGCGAGCGUUGUUCGGAAUCACUGGGCAUAAAGCGCGCGUAGGCGGCCAUGUAAGUCGGGGGUGAAAUCCCGAGGCUCAACCUCGGAACUGCCUUCGAUACUGCGGGUCUCGAGUCCGGGAGAGGUGAGUGGAAUUCCUAGUGUAGAGGUGAAAUUCGUAGAUAUUAGGAAGAACACCAGUGGCGAAGGCGGCUCACUGGCCCGGUACUGACGCUGAGGCGCGAAAGCGUGGGGAGCAAACAGG